AGCGAACGCUGGCGGCAGGCUUAACACAUGCAAGUCGAGCGGGCAUAGCAAUAUGUCAGCGGCAGACGGGUGAGUAACGCGUGGGAACGUACCUUUUGGUUCGGAACAACACAGGGAAACUUGUGCUAAUACCGGAUAAGCCCUUACGGGGAAAGAUUUAUCUCCGAAAGAUCGGCCCGCGUCUGAUUAGCUAGUUGGUGAGGUAAUGGCUCACCAAGGCGACGAUCAGUAGCUGGUCUGAGAGGAUGAUCAGCCACAUUGGGACUGAGACACGGCCCAAACUCCUACGGGAGGCAGCAGUGGGGAAUAUUGGACAAUGGGCGCAAGCCUGAUCCAGCCAUGCCGCGUGAGUGAUGAAGGCCCUAGGGUUGUAAAGCUCUUUUGUGCGGGAAGAUAAUGACGGUACCGCAAGAAUAAGCCCCGGCUAACUUCGUG
rnacentral:rRNA from 1 species